GGAGGAAAAGAAACCAACAGGGAUUGCCUCAGUAGCGGCGAGUGAAGCGGCAAAAGCUCAAAUUUGAAAUCUGGCGUCUUUGGCGUCCGAGUUGUAAUUUGAAGAAGGUAUCUUUGGGCCCGGCUCUUGUCUAUGUUCCUUGGAACAGGACGUCACAGAGGGUGAGAAUCCCGUGCGAUGAGAUGACCCGGGUCUGUGUAAAGUUCCUUCGACGAGUCGAGUUGUUUGGGAAUGCAGCUCUAAGUGGGUGGUAAAUUCCAUCUAAAGCUAAAUAUUGGCGAGAGACCGAUAGCGAACAAGUACAGUGAUGGAAAGAUGAAAAGAACUUUGAAAAGAGAGUGAAAAAGUACGUGAAAUUGUUGAAAGGGAAGGGCUUGAGAUCAGACUUGGUAUUUUGCAUGCUGCUCUCUCGGGGGCGGCCGCUGCGGUUUACCGGGCCAGCAUCGGUUUGGAGCGGCAGGAUAAUGGCGGAGGAAUGUGGCACGGCUUCUGCUGUGUGUUAUAGCCUCUGACGAUACUGCCAGCCUAGACCGAGGACUGCGGUUUUUAAC
rnacentral:rRNA from 1 species